UAUGAAGAAGGCCUUCGGGUUGUAAAGUACUUUCAGCGGGGAGGAAGGCGGUGAGGUUAAUAACCUCGCCGAUUGACGUUACCCGCAGAAGAAGCACCGGCUAACUCCGUGCCAGCAGCCCGCGGUAAUACGGAGGGUGCAAGCGUUAAUCGGAAUUACUGGGCGUAAAGCGCACGCAGGCGGUCUGUUAAGUCAGAUGUGAAAUCCCCGGGCUUAACCUGGGAACUGCAUUUGAAACUGGCAGGCUUGAGUCUCGUAGAGGGGGGUAGAAUUCCAGGUGUAGCGGUGAAAUGCGUAGAGAUCUGGAGGAAUACCGGUGGCGAAGGCGGCCCCCUGGACGAAGACUGACGCUCAGGUGCGAAAGCGUGGGGAGCAAACAGGAUUAGAUACCCUGGUAGUCCACGCCGUAAACGAUGUCGACUUGGAGGUUGUUCCCUUGANGAAUGGCUUUCCGGAGCUAACGCGUUAAAGUCGACCCGCUGGGGAGUACCGGCCGC
rnacentral:rRNA from 1 species